UAGUCCACGCAGUAAACGAUGAGUGCUAGUUGUCGGGAUUUUUCUCGGUGGCGAAGCUAACGCGUUAAGCACUCCGCCUGGGGAGUACGGCCGCAAGGCUAAAACUCAAAGGAAUUGACGGGGACCCGCACAAGCAGUGGAGCAUGUGGUUUAAUUCGAUGAUACGCGAGAAACCUUACCAGCUCUUGAAUCCUGAUUACGAUUUUCAGAGAUGAAUUUUUCAGUUCGGCUGGAUCAGUGACAGGUGUUGCAUGGCUGUCGUCAGCUCGUGUCGUGAGAUGUUGGGUUAAGUCCCGCAACGAGCGCAACCCUCAUCCUUAGUUGCCAUCAGGUUUGGCUGGGGACUCUAAGGAAACUGCCGGUGAUAAGCCGGAGGAAGGUGAGGAUGACGUCAGGUCCUCAUGGCCCUUACGGGCUGGGCUACACGCGUGCUACAAUGGCGGCUAUAAUGGGAUGCAAUAGGGUGACCUGGAGCUAAUCCUCAAAGGCCGUCUCAGUUC
rnacentral:rRNA from 1 species